rnacentral:lncRNA from 1 species
CUGAGAGAGAUCCAUCCUCUCCCAAGGCAAAAGGGGUGGAAAAGCAGGAGAAAGCCUUCUCGGUGGCCGCUCCCAAGUUCUCAAUCUCCCGGCAGACGGGAGUGAAAUCAAUACAAUCUAGGCAGGCCAGUCACCUGUUGGCCAAGCAGGAGGAAAUGGAUGCCCCUUGGACAUUCACUGCCUUACCUGGGACGAUCAAGGCCUGACACCCCCCCACCCUUUUUCACUCCCCAUAGCCCUGUUGGGGGGUUUAGGCUGAGAGGGGCCCCCAGUCCCAACCUGUCAGGUUUGGGAUAAACCUGAGUAAAUUGUUAAAUGCAGUUUGGCAACAAGAUCUAAGUAUUGUAAGGAUCAGAGCUGUAAAGUAAAGCUAAGCAUGAGUUAAUGCAGCUGAGCUGAUUGUAUCAGCAGGAUGAACAAUCACAGGAUUGGCUAAUCACUGGGAUAUAGCCAGGAGACCAAGCAGACACCAUUGUGGGUUGUUGUGGGUGUUGCUGUUGGUCAUGGAGUGCUGUUGUUAAGCUGGAGACUCCUGUGGAAGCCGUAUCUACGAGCUUGGGAGAAGAGGAACUCUGGUGAACCGGACUGACUGCAUGAUAUAUUGACCUUGACUAUUUACUGGACUCUGACACUGAUUUAUGCAUUCUGUACUCUGUGGAACUGCCGUGUAUGACAAUUGGAACUGGACAAGAACUAUGCUGUGUAUAUACCUGUACAUAUCCUGUAUAUAAUACAUAUAUUCUACUAUCAAGAUUGUUUGCUGCCUGUGUCUUCAUUUCACUUUGGGAAGCUCUGCUGGUUAUCACCUCCUGGGGUAAUCCUUGAAAUACCGCCACUCUGUCACAACCUGUCCUUCUAACCAUGCGGGUUCUUUGGGCAAAACAGGGCACCCCCGUGGAAGUGACAUUCUGCAACAACGUGAUGGACAUUUGCAAUGCUGUUCAUGAAGCCCAGGACGCCGACUUCCAGCUGGACUGCAAAACAGAGUUACUGGAGACUUUGUUGGACUUUCUUGGAAGGGCACGCUUCUUCAAAACAUCCCUUUGCCCAACAACCAUCACAGCCUUAGUCUCUAUCAGGUAAGCGAUCUAGAGCUAAGAAGCCAGCUGGGCCAGGGAGGCGUGUCUCAGGCAGCAAUGAGUGAGGGACGGCAGCAUCUCUGCAAUGUGAAAUGGAGGAUCCUCCUUGCCAAUCCCUGUGGUCAUGAGAUGGGCGGGGAAUUUUUCCCUCCAGAGACACAGUCCUUCAAAGCUGCUGUGCUGGACUGUCCAAUGACGAUACAGAAACA